AUCUACAGCCAUGCCACCCUGAACAAGCCCGAUGUGUGAUCUCAGAAGCUAAGCGGGGUCGGGCCUGGUUAGUACGUGGAUGGGAGACCACUUAGGAAGACAGGUGCUGCAGGCA
rnacentral:rRNA from 1 species